AGUGCAGAGGAGAAAGCCAUCAGAGAAAGCUCCUUCUGGAGGUGUCCUCCUAACCGGACCUGGAACAGUGGGGAGAGUUUGGACAUUACAGUUUUGAAUAUAACGCAGUAUGAACUAAUCAGUGAUUCAGUUUAGAUGGUUUCUGGAAGCACAAAAUGGAAAUAAGGCUAGAAUGAAAGAGGAAACUGAGGCAUGGGGGCCUUGAAUGCUGGGCUAAGUCAUGAUAAGGAAUUUACUGAUGGGCAGCGGGGAGCUGUUGAAGUCUUCUGAAUAUGAGUGACAGGUUUAGAACUGGGCUUCAGGAAGGAUUAUAUAGUGGUAGUGUUCUGGGAUGGCUGGAAGCAGAAGAGAUAAGAGGCAAGGAGAAUAGAGGUGAUAGCAUUGAAAUGGGCAGUGGCAUGGGCCUGAGGACAGGGCAUCCCAUCUAAGAGCCAGGCAGAGAGUCUUGGCAGCUACGUGGAUGUUGGGCAACCUACAGCAGCCAGAGGAUCCUGACGGCCCAAGGAAUAACAUGACCACCACUUGGCCGAUUCUCCAAGCAUUGCAUGAUGUUGUGUUCUGUUUCAGGGACGUGGUCAUCUCAACAUGCACCCCUCAAAAUGAAGAUCCCACAUGCAUUGUCUCACCUCCAGUUGCUGCACUGACUGUAUCUCCAACCAUCUGCCCUGCCCCAGCCUCUAUCACCAAUAUAGAUACUUUAUAAUUCCAUCUCUAAACGUGAUGACACAAGAACUUCAGGAACUGCUCCAGCUGAGAUCAGGAGUGGAGAGAGAGAGACAGAGAGGAAGGGAAGGAGGAAGAUGGAGCAUAACUAUGCUAAUAAAAAGGGAGACCUGAAAAGUGUCAGCUCCUGGAGUCUCUCUGGGUGAGACAAUGAUGACAACAUCACUUUGUAAGGAGGACCCUUUGCUACUGCAGACCUGCUCCAGGGUAAUGGUGACAACAGAGGAUAGACAGAGACCUGGAAGGAUCUGAGGUUAAACUCAUAGCCUGGGGAGAGCAUGAACUCCCCUUCAAAGAAAAGAUGGAGACAUGGCUGGACUUACCAAAGUGCUUGAUAAGUCCAGAAUGCGGCUGUGUGACUUCGGGGAUUCAGAGGCUCCGUCACAGAAGUUGCAGCUUCCCCACGUGCCUCUUCAUCUGUUUGCUUUUGAACAUUUCCUCAUGGGCACCAGCCUUGAGGGCCAUACUGUAAGAAGCUGAAGCCACUGGAGAGGUCCCUGAAGAAAUGCAGAGACAGAGAGAAGCAGAGGACCCAGGAGGCCCCGGAAGCAGGUGUGAGGAGCCAUCUUGUAAGUGGAUCCUGCCCCACAUGACACUGAGAAUCAGAGA